UAGGUGAACCAGCGGAGGGAUCAUUACCGAGUUUACAACUCCCAAACCCCAAUGUGAACGUUACCAAUCUGUUGCCUCGGCGGGAUUCUCUUGCCCCGGGCGCGUCGCAGCCCCGGAUCCCAUGGCGCCCGCCGGAGGACCAACUCCAAACUCUUUUUUUCUCUCCGUCGCGGCUCCCGUCGCGGCUCUGUUUUAUUUUUGCUCUGAGCCUUUCUCGGCGACCCUAGCGGGCGUCUCGAAAAUGAAUCAAAACUUUCAACAACGGAUCUCUUGGUUCUGGCAUCGAUGAAGAACGCAGCGAAAUGCGAUAAGUAAUGUGAAUUGCAGAAUUCAGUGAAUCAUCGAAUCUUUGAACGCACAUUGCGCCCGCCAGUAUUCUGGCGGGCAUGCCUGUCCGAGCGUCAUUUCAACCCUCGAACCCCUCCGGGGGGUCGGCGUUGGGGAUCGGCCCCUCACCGGGCCGCCCCCGAAAUACAGUGGCGGUCUCGCCGCAGCCUCUCCUGCGCAGUAGUUUGCACACUCGCACCGGGAGCGCGGCGCGGCCACAGCCGUAAAACACCCCAAACUUCUGAAAUGUUGACCUCGGAUCAGGUAGGAAUACCCGCUGAACUUAAGCAUAUCAAUAAGCGGAGGAAAAGAAACCAACAGGG
rnacentral:rRNA from 2 species